rnacentral:rRNA from 1 species
CCUACGGGAGGCUGCAGUCGAGAAUCAUUCACAAUGGGGGAAACCCUGAUGGUGCGACGCCGCGUGGGGGAAUGAAGGUCUUCGGAUUGUAAACCCCUGUCAUGUGGGAGCAAAUUAAAAAGAUAGUACCACAAGAGGAAGAGACGGCUAACUCUGUGCCAGCAGCCGCGGUAAUACAGAGGUCUCAAGCGUUGUUCGGAAUCACUGGGCGUAAAGCGUGCGUAGGCUGUUUCGUAAGUCGUGUGUGAAAGGCGAGGGCUCAACCCGCGGACGGCACAUGAUACUGCGAGACUAGAGUAAUGGAGGGGGAACCGGAAGUCUCGGUGUAGCAGUGAAAUGCGUAGAUAUCGAGAGGAACACUCGUGGCGAAGGCGGGUUCCUGGACAUUAACUGACGCUGAGGCACGAAGGCCAGGGGAGCGAAAGGGAUUAGAUACCCCAGUAGUC